rnacentral:rRNA from 1 species
GGAGUUAGCCGGUGCUUCUUCUGUGAGUGAUGUCCUUCCUGCCGGCUAUUAACCCGCAGGCCUUCUUCCUCACUGAAAGUGCUUUACAACCCGAAGGCCUUCUUCACACACGCGGCAUGGCUGGAUCAGGGUUGCCCCCAUUGUCCAAUAUUCCCCACUGCUGCCUCCCGUAGGAGUCUGGGCCGUGUCUCAGUCCCAGUGUGGCUGAUCAUCCUCUCAGACCAGCUACGGAUCGUCGCCUUGGUGAGCCGUUACCUCACCAACCAGCUAAUCCGACAUAGGCUCAUCCGAUAGCGCGAGGCCCGAAGGUCCCCCGCUUUCCCCCGUAGGGCGUAUGCGGUAUUAGCCUGGGUUUCCCCAGGUUAUCCCCCGACUACCGGGGCAGAUUCCUAUGCAUUACUCACCCGUCCGCCGCUCGCCACCAGGGAGCAAGCUCCCCGUGCUGCCGCUCGACUUGCAUGUGUUAGGCCUGCCGCCAGCGUUCAAUCUGAGCCAGAAUCAAACUACUGA